UGGGGAAUAUUGGACAAUGGGGGGAACCCUGAUCCAGCCAUGCCGCGUGUGUGAAGAAGGCCUUAUGGUUGUAAAGCACUUUAAGCGAGGAGGAGGGUACUGGUAUUAAUACUACCAGGUACUGGACGUUACUCGCAGAAUAAGCACCGGCUAACUCUGUGCCAGCAGCCGCGGUAAUACAGAGGGUGCGAGCGUUAAUCGGAUUUACUGGGCGUAAAGCGUGCGUAGGCGGCUAAUUGAGUCGGAUGUGAAAUCCCCGAGCUUAACUUGGGAAUUGCAUUCGAUACUGGUUAGCUAGAGUGUGGGAGAGGAUGGUAGAAUUCCAGGUGUAGCGGUGAAAUGCGUAGAGAUCUGGAGGAAUACCGAUGGCGAAGGCAGCCAUCUGGCCUAACACUGACGCUGAGGUACGAAAGCAUGGGGAACAAACAGG
rnacentral:rRNA from 1 species